rnacentral:lncRNA from 1 species
UUUCCUCCCCUUUUCCUUAUUCGUACUAAGUUAGGUAUACAGACAUCUAACUGAAACUUCUGGGCUAGCUACUAUUCUUGGCUCCCAUAUACACAUAAUUAAACUUUUUUCUUCUGUUAAUCUGUUGCUUUCAGUUUAAUUGACAGACCCCAGGGACAGAACACAAGAGGUACUUCUGCAGCCUUCUUCACAGAGGCUCCCUAACUUGGCCAGACAUGCAGCAGAAUAAGUGGAAGCAUCAAGACUGCUCAUUGUCUCAUUGGCAGACAGCAUAAUGUUAUGAAGCUGCUGGCACCUGCGGAGGGCGAGUGUCUGGUGUGCUACUGAGAGGGGAGCUACUGAUCGGAGGGUUGCACCUUGGCUUCGGACCCUGACA